AAGAUCAUACUUCAACAGGAUCAUUUCUGUAGUGUGAUACGUGCGAAAUAUCGCCUAAAUGUAAAGUCGACACGCAGUCACGAUGAUGACCAUCGUGGC